UUGGAAAGGAACGAGAUUACUACUAAGAAUCCAUCUUUAUAAUGAGGGCUUGGACUACAUGUUUAAUCUGAGAACAAUGUCCUGUAAUGUUACAAGAUUGACCCGCCCAUUCCGCGUUGUUGGUGUACCACUAGACUCGAAGUUCUUGUUUGAAGGAGAGUACGGUGCAGCUGGUAUCCCCGCAGGAACAUUUUGACGCAGCGACUUUUGGCGGAAAAUUUGAAGAUGGGGCGGAAUACCUGGUCACAGUGGCAGAACCAGAUUGCAUCCCCAUUCAAUUUGAUGUCCGUAGCAAUACUACCACAGAACAUUUCCAUGAAGCGUAUUACGACUUGAAAUUGGGAAAUACCAGACCCAAACUGUGUUCAUACCACCAAAGGAAUGCAUGAUGGUACCAAUUCCACCAAAGUAAAAAACAAACAAAAAUCAUAAAAGUAUGAGGCAUUUGACUUUCACCA